AAUCACAACACCGUGUUUCACGCAGUAUGGAAAGCCAUCAAAGUAUUCGUUCAUCGAAACACCGCAUCGAAGGUGAACUUAGUUCGUUCGAUGUCUAAAGUAAAAGAGCUUUUCCACGAAUAUUUUUCUGACGAAUUAACAAAUUGGUUACUCGAUGAGAUAAAACUAAACAAGAAAGGACCACUUUGCGAUAGCCAGCAAAGAUUCUGGGAACGACCUGCCAAAAAAGGCUCCCAUGAUCCUCGUGGGUGUCCGUCUUAUGUGGCCGAAUACGUGGAUAACUAUUUGGAAAAGAAAGAAACGUCCAAUCAGCGCGUGCACAGACCUUUCCCAACUAUGAUUGACAGUUUGUCUGGUAAAUGUUGUAAGGUUCAGUCUAAUUCUUCAAGGGACGAGGCUUCUUUGAGUGACGUCAGCGGAACCAGUAGUGACUGUGAACUAGAUUCUGAUAAAGCAGACGACAUAGAAAUUCCAGACGAGUUCAAAAUUGACAACAGUGCUGUAAAACAAAUCAGUGUGUCAUAAUCUUUGUUAAUAAUUAAAUCUGGAUUUAUCUUGGUGCCUUUCAAUGCAAUUUAGUCCCUGGUUGUUGCAAGUGUUGUUCAAAGAGUAAUAGUUAGUGAUUUCUCGUUAUUCGUGUUUACGAAAUGUAUUUAUUUAAAAUAUUUUAAUAAAUGAAUAAAUAUU
rnacentral:misc_RNA from 1 species